rnacentral:rRNA from 1 species
UACGAAGGGGGCUAGCGUUGUUCGGAAUCACUGGGCGUAAAGGGCGCGUAGGCGGCCGAUCAAGUCGGGGGUGAAAGCCUGUGGCUCAACCACAAAAUUGCCUUCGAUACUGUUUGGCUUGAGACCGGAAGAGGUUAGUGGAACUGCGAGUGUAGAGGUGAAAUUCGUAGAUAUUCGCAAGAACACCAGUGGCGAAGGCGGCUGACUGGUCCGGUUCUGACGCUGAGGCGCGAAAGCGUGGGGAGCAAACAGG